CUCCGUUCUGCCUGUAUUCUACCCUUGUUUGUCAUAUACUAUUAUUUCCUCGGCAGGCUUGCCUGCCGAGUGAAGCCAUUUAUAACCUUUUUAAUUUUCAAUCAGCGUCUGAAAAAAAUUAAUAAUUACAACUUUCAACAACGGAUCUCUUGGUUCUGGCAUCGAUGAAGAACGCAGCGAAAUGCGAUAAGUAGUGUGAAUUGCAGAAUUCAGUGAAUCAUCGAAUCUUUGAACGCACAUUGCGCCCCUUGGUAUUCCAUGGGGCAUGCCUGUUCGAGCGUCAUUUGUACCUUCAAGCUUUGCUUGGUGUUGGGUGUUUGUCCCGAGGGACUCGCCUUAAAGUAAUUGGCAGCCAGUGUUUGGUUUUGAAGCGCAGCACAAGUCGCGAUUCAAGGCUACACGCCCGCUUCCACAAGCCUUUUUUUCACUUUUGACCUCGGAUCAGGUAGGGAUACCCGCUGAACUUAAGCA
rnacentral:rRNA from 1 species